GCUGGGGUGGUGAAAUGGCAGACACGGAGGGCUUAAGACCCUCUGAGGGUAAAACCUCGUGCGAGUUCGACUCUCGCCCCCAGCACCA
rnacentral:tRNA from 1 species